rfam:Lepisosteus oculatus linkage group LG16, whole genome shotgun sequence.
GUCUGGCGUAAUCUCAGCUGGCAACUGUGAGCAGUUAAUAGCUCCUCUCAUGGUGGCCGCUGGGAUUAUGCUAAAC